AGGAAAUAGAGGAUGAUGACAAUGGAUAAAAUCCCAUUUGGUUUCUACAGCUAAUAAUCUUGUUCAGAGUACAAGAUUAUUUGAACACUGUAAUACGAUUUCCACAUUAAAAGCACGUUCCAGUCCAUUCAAAAUUUUUCAGCGCAAUUGUAAAUUGGAUCUGACCAGUCUUAGCAACAGCAGUAGAAAUGGCAGCCUUGUUUAUGGAAUUCCUCUCUUAUUUGGAGUAUUUGAACUCUUUGAAUUCUUCUUAUUAUAUCUUCUUAUUUGAAUUCUUUUAAUGUGGAAUUCUAGGAGAUC
rnacentral:lncRNA from 1 species